AACGAACGCUGGCGGCAUGCCUAACACAUGCAAGUCGAACGGGAUCCUGGUUUCGGCCAGGUGAGAGUGGCGGACGGGUGAGUAACGCGUGGGAACCUGCCCAGUGGUGGGGGAUAACUGCGGGAAACUGCAGCUAAUACCGCAUGAGCCCGCAAGGGGAAAGAUUGAUCGCCAUUGGAGGGGCCCGCGUUCGAUUAGGUAGUUGGUGAGGUAACGGCUCACCAAGCCUACGAUCGAUAGCUGGUCUGAGAGGAUGAUCAGCCACACUGGGACUGAGAUACGGCCCAGACUCCUACGGGAGGCAGCAGUGGGGAAUAUUGGACAAUGGGGGCAACCCUGAUCCAGCAAUGCCGCGUGUGUGAAGAAGGCCUGCGGGUUGUAAAGCACUUUCAGUAGGGAAGAAAAG
rnacentral:rRNA from 1 species